GGCGCGUGGCGCGAGACCGGCCGUUUUGAGCGUUGCCCGGGGAGUGCGGGCUGGCACCCUACGCGGGGUUGUCAUGGGAACCGCUCGUUCUCUGCGACCCUGCCCGAGUCUGCAGAGAGCCUGGACCCAUCGCCCUGGGGCUGGCCCCGCAGUGAUGCUGCAGCAACGCUGGAUGAGCUUGCUAAGAGCCUGCACCAAUAGCCCCCAUAGACUACUGACCCCUCAGUAACCUAUACAGCGGCGCUGGCUAAGCCUGCAGCGAGCCUGCCCCAUAGCACCAGGGAGGCUGGCCCUAGAGCGGCUGGUACAACCACACUGCUUGAGCCUGCAGAAGUGACCAACAGAGCAAUGCUGCCUGAGUCUGCAGAGAGCCUUCGCAGGCUGCCCCAGUAAAGGGGAGUUAGCCCAGCGUGACCGAUACAGUGAGUCUGCGGAGAGCAUGCAGCGAUACCCCAAGUAAAUGGGACUGACCCCAUAGUGACUGACAUAGCAAUGCUGCUUUUGUCUGCAGAGAGCCUGCACCAGUAGCCCCAAGAGAGUGGCCUGACCCCAGGGUGACCAACACAGCGACCCUAUCUGAGUCUGCAGAAAGCCUGGACCAAUGGCCCCAAGAGAGUGGUCUGACCCCAGAAUGGCCAACGCAGCGACACUGCUUGAAUCUGUACAGACUUAUAGCAUCAGAGGAGGGGACUGACCCCAUCUGCAGAGAGCCAGGACCAAGAGGCCUGAGAGGGAGGGGAAUGACCCCAUCCUAACUGACGGUGCAAUAUUUGCACAAGUCUGCAGAGCCUGGAAUGAUAGCUUUGAGAGGGAACUGCCCUGUGCAUCUCUGCAGAUUGUUACUACCACGGCUAAAGACAAUGACACUGAUAUCCAUCUCCUUGCUGAUCACAGCCUGAAGAAGAGGGAUGAGCAUAUUACCAACAGCUCUACAGUCUGCUGUAGGAGGAGCCGGAGAUCCUGAGAAGCAGAUUGGAGAUCUGUGGCCAAUGGAGCCCCAGGGAAUAAUGCACGCUGAGGAGCCCAGAGACCUACUACCCCAUGGACUACAGCUUCAGGAAGCAUGCUUCUGAAAAGAACAUGCGAGUUCCAGCCUCUGACGGAAAUCAAAGGACAAUUUAUUGCCAGAGAAGAAUUCGAGCUCAAUGAUUUGUUUCUGCAUUACCAAUAGUUUUUUAACUCUGACCUCGUGAUUUUUGCUUUCUUUUGGCUGUUCCUUCUCUCUGUCUCUCUCAUCUUUCUGGAGAAUUUCCCUUAAGGAAUUCCCAGCGAUGGCUCCUCAGACGAAGAUGUGAGUGGCUGACAUUAUGUAAUGUUUGGCAUUUGGCAUUCCCAUGGUAAUG